rnacentral:snRNA from 12 species
AUACUUACCUGGGAGGGCAGUCUGUACAUCGCAAGACGUACGACUGUGCGGGGACGACAAACUUCUUUACUUUUGUCUUCGGACAGGGAAAGUUGUUUGUUGAAACCGUCGAGGUCACGACUAUGUGGCUGUCGACUCCUCAAUUUAUGACCCUGGAGUAGUAUGCGUUCGCGCAGCUGCUCC